GAGACAAGAAACCUUAAACCUAAGGCAUCCUUGAGGGAAGAGAUCCCAUAGUCUUCAUAGAGGGGCUGGAAGUGGAAAGGUCACUGAUCUCCAAUCUAAAGAAGAAUUAUUUGUACAUAUCCCCAGAGAUAAAUAUAUGCAGCUCAUAUAUCACAGUGCAUCACAAGCAAAGAGCAGGCUGCAAGUGCCAAGGCUGGACCUACAAUUAGACAGAAUGCAGCAAGCGCU